GACGAACGCUGGCGGCGUGCUUAACACAUGCAAGUCGAACGCUGAAGCUCAGCUUUUGUUGGGUGGAUGAGUGGCGAACGGGUGAGUAACACGUGAGUAACCUGCCUCCUUCUUUGGGAUAACGCCCGGAAACGGGUGCUAAUACUGGAUAUUCACUGGUCUUCGCAUGGGGGUUGGUGGAAAGGGUUUUUUUGGUGGGGGAUGGGCUCGCGGCCUAUCAGCUUGUUGGUGGGGUGAUGGCCUACCAAGGCUUUGACGGGUAGCCGGGCUGAGAGGGUGACCGGUCACAGUGGGACUGUGCUACGGCCCAGACUCGUACGGGGGGCGGCAGUGGGGAAUAUUGCACAAUGGGCGCAAGCCUGAUGCAGCGACGCCGCGUGAGGGAUGGAGGCCUUCGGGUUGUGAACCUCUUUCGCUCAUGAUCAAGCCGCAACAAUGGUUGUGGUGAGGGUAGUGGGUAAAGAAGCGCCGGCUAACUACGUG
rnacentral:rRNA from 1 species